rnacentral:rRNA from 1 species
GCUUGCUUCUUUGCUGGCGACCGGCGCACGGUGAGUAACACGUAUCCAACCUACCCUUUACUCGGGGAUAGCCUUUCGAAAGAAAGAUUAAUACCCGAUAGCAUAAUGAUUCCGCAUGGUUUCAUUAUUAAAGGAUUCCGGUAAAGGAUGGGGAUGCGUUCCAUUAGGUUGUUGGUGGGGUAACGGCCCACCAAGCCUUCGAUGGAUAGGGGUUCUGAGAGGAAGGUCCCCCCACAUUGGAACUGAGACACGGUCCAAACUCCUACGGGAGGCAGCAUG